rnacentral:rRNA from 1 species
CUACGGAGGGUGCAAGCGUUACUCGGAAUCACUGGGCGUAAAGGACGCGUAGGCGGGUUGGCAAGUCAGAUGUGAAAUCCUACAGCUUAACUGUAGAACUGCAUAUGAAACUGCUAACCUAGAGUAUGGGAGGGGGAGAUGGAAUUAGUGGUGUAGGGGUAAAAUCCGUAGAUAUCACUAGGAAUACCGAAAGCGAAGGCGAUCUCCUGGAACAUAACUGACGCUAAGGCGUGAAAGCGUGGGGAGCAAACAGGAUUAGAUACCCUUGUAGUCC